GGGACGAACGCUGGCGGCGUGCUUAACACAUGCAAGUCGAGCGGUAAGGCCUUUCGGGGUACACGAGCGGCGAACGGGUGAGUAACACGUGGGUGAUCUGCCCUGCACUUCGGGAUAAGCCUGGGAAACUGGGUCUAAUACCGGAUAUGACCUCCUAUCGCAUGGUGGGUGGUGGAAAGAUUUAUCGGUGCAGGAUGGGCCCGCGGCCUAUCAGCUUGUUGGUGGGGUAAUGGCCUACCAAGGCGACGACGGGUA
rnacentral:rRNA from 1 species